rfam:Bosea thiooxidans strain CGMCC 9174 V5_38, whole genome shotgun sequence.
UCAGAGGGGUUCCAUCGCGACGACCCCGUGAGGCGCCAGCCCAACGUUCGCGUCCAUUGUCCUCGUAGAACAGGAUGGACGCCGCCAUG